rnacentral:rRNA from 1 species
UUAAGGAAAAAAGGGCGCACAGAGGAUGCCUAGGCACUAGAAGGCGAAGAAGGACGCGACGAACGGCGAAACGCUUCGGGGAGUGGUAAGUACACAACGAUCCGGAGGAAUCCGAAUGGGAGAACCCCCUUGUCAGGAGGACAAGGAUAUCGAAAGAUAGGCGAGACCUUCCGAAUUGAAAUAUCUUAGUAGGAAGAGGAAAAGAAAGUAAGAACGAUUCUGAGAGUAGUGACGAGCGAAAUUGGAGGAACCAGAUGUACAUAACUGAAUUAUUUAAUAGUUGAACGUUUUGGGAAAGACGGGCGAAGAAGGUGAAACCCCUGUAAACGAAAUUGAGUAAGGAAGGGUACACGAGAAGUACGGCAGGACACGAGAAAUCCGGUCGGAACGAAUAAUGAGGACCACCUCAAAAGGUUAAAUACUAUCUAGUGACCGAUAGAGAACAAGUACCGUGAGGGAAAGGUGAAAAGAACCCCGGGAGGGGAGUGAAAGAGAACCUGAAACUGUGUGCUUACAAGUAGUCAGAGCGCGUUAAAGCGUGAUGGCGUGCCUUUUGUAGAAUGAACCGGCGAGUUACAUUAUCUAGCGAGGUUAAGUGUAGAGGCACGGAGCCGAAGCGAAAGCGAGUCUAAAGAGGGCGGAAAGUUAGAUGAAGUAGACCCGAAACCCGGCGAGCUAGCCAUGAGCAGGAUGAAGCGAUGGUAAGACAUCGUGGAGGUCCGAACUAUAGCCUGUUGAAAAAGGCCUGGAUGACUUGUGGCUAGGGGUGAAAUUCCAAUCGAGCUGGGAGAUAGCUGGUUCUCCCCGAAAUAGCUUUAGGGCUAGCGUUCAUAGAGAGUUUAUAGGAGGUAGAGCACUGAAUGGUUGAUGGUCCCACCUCGGGAUACUGAGAUCAAUCAAACUCCGAAUGCUUAUAAACACGAUGAGCAGUCAGACUUGUGGGCGAGAAAGUUCAUGGUCAAAAGGAGAAGAGUCCAGACCGCCAGAUAAGGUCCCAAAAUGUAUGCUAAGUGGAGAAGGAUGUAGAGAUGCGAAAACAACUAGGAUGUUGGCUUAGAAGCAGCCAUCAUUAAAAGAGUGCGUAAUAGCUCACUAGUCGAGUGACUCUGCGCCGAAAAUGUACCGGGGCUAAGCAUACUACCGAAGCUGCGGAAUAUUGAAUAAAGAAUAUUGGUAGGGGAGCGUUCUAUACAGGAAGAAGGUAUAUCGAGAGGAAUACUGGACAGUAUAGAAGUGAGAAUGCCGGUGUAAGUAACGAGAAGAUGGGUGAGAAUCCCAUCCGUCAAAAACCCAAGGUUUCCAGGGGAAGGUUCGUCCGCCCUGGGUAAGUCGGGACCUAAGGUGAGGCCGAAAGGCGUAGCUGAUGGACAUUUGGUGUAUAAUCCAGAACUACUUAUAUAACUGAAGGAGGGACGAAGGAGGCAAGGAUAGGACCGAUUAGUGGAUUUCGGUCAAGGUAUCGAGGCUAGUGUAGAGGAAAAGCCAUACACGACAAGUUAGAUACUGAGGUAAGGCUAUACCGAGUCAAACUUCCAAGAAAAACUUCUAAAGAUAUUGUAUAAGUACCCGUACCGUAAACCGACACAGGUGGGAAGGAAGAGAAUUCUAAGACGCGCGAGAAAACCCUUGUUAAGGAACUCGGCAAAUUGACCCCGUAAGUUAGCGAGAAGGGGGACUCAUAGAGAUAUGAGUCGCAGAGAAUAGGCCCAAGCAACUGUUUAACAAAAACACAGGUUUGUGCAAAACCGAAAGGUGAAGUAUACGAGCUGACGCCUGCCCGGUGCUGGAAGGUUAAGAGGAGAUGUCAGGCAACGAAGCAUCGAAUUGAAGCCCCAGUAAACGGCGGCCGUAACUAUAACGGUCCUAAGGUAGCGAAAUUCCUUGUCAGGU